CGCGUAGGCGGUCGGGUAAGUCGGGUGUGAAAUUCCGGGGCUCAACCCCGUGGACUGCACUCGAUACUGCUCGACUUGAGAGAGGUAGGGGCGAGCGGAAUUCCCGGUGUAGCGGUGGAAUGCGUAGAUAUCGGGAAGAACACCGGUGGCGAAGGCGGCUCGCUGGGCCUUUUCUGACGCUGAAGCGCGAAAGCGUGGGGAGCAAACA
rnacentral:rRNA from 1 species